AAUAAGAGGUCACGCCUGCCCAGUGACAACAUUGUUCAACGGCCGCGGUAUUCUGACCGUGCAAAGGUAGCGCAAUCACUUGUCUUUUAAUUGAGGACCCGUAUGAAUGGCAUAACGAGGGCUUAACUGUCUCCUUUUUCUAGUCAAUGAAAUUGAUCUCCCCGUGCAGAAGCGGGGAUACCCCCAUAAGACGAGAAGACCCUAUGGAGCUUUAGACGCAAGAGCAGAAUAUGUUAAACAUCUUCCCAUAAGAAGAGAAACAAAAUAUCUCCUGUUCCUAUGUCUUUGGUUGGGGCGACCUCGGGGAGAAAACAAACCCCCAAGUGGAAUAGAGGCACUGCCUCCUAAGCCAAGAGCUCCUGCUCGAACAAAUAGAAACUCUAACCUUACAGAUCCGGCAAUGCCGAUCAACGGACCGAGUUACCCUAGGGAUAACAGCGCAAUCUCCUUAUAGAGCCCGUAUCGACAAGGGGGUUUACGACCUCGAUGUUGGAUCAGGACAUCCUAAUGGUGCAGCCGCUAUUAAGGGUUCGUUUGUUCAACGAUUAAAGUCCU
rnacentral:rRNA from 1 species